rnacentral:lncRNA from 1 species
AAAAUAUAUUUACAUAGUAAAUAAUAAUAAUAAUAUAAAUAAUUCCUUUGAGUGACAUGUAUCAGCAGAUUCUUCAAAGGCAUUUCCUCUGCCAAAUCAAAGCUGUAGUCCUGCUCCCUGCUGCAGGAGAGACAACAUUUGAUUUCAAAGAAGUCAGUGUCUGCAUUUUGAGUUCAGAAAGGCAUGAAUGAAACUCCAUUUUAGUAUGUAUUACAAAGCCAAGAGGUCAAUAUCAAAACCAGUUAUUCUUAAAUUGAAAUCACUGAGCAUAUUUCCCUGUUUCUCAACACUUUAGUUUCAAAUUAAAUUAUUUAUGUAAAUGAAAAAUCUCCCUGAUAGUGGAGACAUAUGUAUUUAAUUCAAGAGAAAGCUGAAUUAAAAUUGAAAUGCCAGUUCAGUGAGUGAAACUGAGAUCUUUAUAGCUGAGAAAAAUACAUUCACAAUGAGAAUACAGGAAGAUAACAUCUGAGAAUUAAUUUACAAAUGCUUAGAAAGAAAAGUCUGUUACUCAUAUAUCAAUUCAAAGGUUUUUGCUUACCUUUUAAGUCUGCAGAAUAUUCAAGGACACUGCAUGGAGCUGUUCAUCUCAAGUGUUUGAGAGGACCACAGAACAUCUAUGCUGCUAUAGUUGACAUUGACUGAAUGACUACGUGUCCAAUGGAUGAAGAAAAGACAUCCUAUUCUCCAUCAGUAGAGCUACAUCCAAGGUAACGCAAUCAUACAUGCAUUUAAUAUAUGGCUUGUUUAUAUCCAUUUGGAAGAUGAGAAUGAAUAAUUAAAGAAGGAAUUAAUUCAACUGCACAGAAGUAUUCGAUCAAGUCAUGAUUUCUCACAGACAGUCUCACAUUUACAUUUUUUUUAAUUUGGAGUGAGCAUGAAAAGAGGUAACACUGCUCUAUGAAAGUGUCAUAUCAUGAAUGUUUCUAAAAGGUAAUUUCCCCACCAGAGUCUGGGCAGUGAACUGUUCUUCACUUUCUUAUGACUUAGAAAAAAGGUGGAUGUGAUCUUUUGUAACUAGUUGGUGUAGAAAGACCACUGAAAACCAAAUAGUAAAAAUGACGUGAAAAUGUUGAAGUAAUUCUAAGCUUCACAGAAAAUAAGAAGACAGCUGGAAAUACCUUAUAUUGGCUUUCAG